rnacentral:rRNA from 1 species
UACGAAGGGGGCUAGCGUUGCUCGGAAUUACUGGGCGUAAAGGGCGCGUAGGCGGAUAUUUAAGUCGGGGGUGAAAGCCCAGGGCUCAACCCUGGAACAGCCUUCGAUACUGGAUAUCUUGAGUACGGGAGAGGUGUGUGGAACUCCGAGUGUAGAGGUGAAAUUCGUAGAUAUUCGCAAGAACACCAGUGGCGAAGGCGGCUUACUGGUCCGGUUCUGACGCUGAGGCGCGAAAGCGUGGGGAGCAAACAGG